rnacentral:rRNA from 1 species
UACGUAGGGUGCGAGCGUUAAUCGGAAUUACUGGGCGUAAAGGGCUCGUAGGCGGUUUGUCGCGUCGGGAGUGAAAACCUCGGGCUUAACUCGGGGCUUGCUUUCGAUACGGGCAGACUAGAGGUAUGCAGGGGAGAACGGAAUUCCUGGUGUAGCGGUGAAAUGCGCAGAUAUCAGGAGGAACACCGGUGGCGAAGGCGGUUCUCUGGGCAUGAUCUGACGCUGAGGAGCGAAAGUGUGGGGAGCGAACAGG